AAAAAAAACCCUUUCCCCCUUUUUUUUUCCCUUUAAAAAAAAAAAACCGGGGGAAAAAGGGUUUUAAGGUUUUUUUUAAAAAUUUUUUUAAAGGGGCCCCCAAAAAAUUUUGGGGU